AUGGACUGGGCAGCGCACAGGGCGCACAUCCGCGCACAACUGGAGCGUGCCCAGCAGCGCUUCAAGAAGCAGGCCAACGGCAAUCGCAGGGAGCGCCAGUUCCAGGUGGGCGAGAAGGUGCUUCUGAAGCUGCAGCUCUAUGUUCAGCAAUCCGUCGUCAGCCGCCCCUGCGCCAAGCUCGCCUACAAGUUCUUCGGACCGUACACCGUCAUCGAGAAGAUCGGGCUCUUGGCGUACAAGCUCGACCUGCCAGCGUCCAGCCGUGUGCACCCGAUCUUCCAUGUUUCCCAACUGAAGCCAUUCACGCCAGACUACACACCGGUGUACGCGGAGCUGCCGCGGGUGCCAGACCUGUCCGUGGCGAGCACGGUACCAACGCGCAUCCUGGAGCGACGCAUGUUGAAAAGAGGCAACACGGCCAUCAUGCAGAUCAAGGUGCAACGGGGGAACAGCUCACCGCCGGCCACCAUCUGGAAAGACUGCGAGGUACUCCGGCAACGCUUUCCAGAAUGUCUCAUUUGGGAGGACGACGAAGCAAGCACUCAAGAGGAGGCUCACUCUCAAGGGGGAGGAUGUCACACCUGGCCACUAGCAAGCACUCAAGAGGAGGCUCACUCUCAAGGGGGAGGAUGUCACACCUGGCCACUUGUCCAGUGUGACGUGGCAUGGAUCAGGCCCUACCUGUAA
rnacentral:rRNA from 1 species